rnacentral:tRNA from 1 species
GACUCAUUAGAAUAGAGGUAGUUCAUCACCCUUCAGGAUAGGCACAGAAUCGUGGCUAUCCUGAAGGAGAAGGCAGAAGUUCGAAUCUUCUAUCAGUCA